ACGAAGGGUGCAAGCGUUACUCGGAAUUACUGGGCGUAAAGCGUGCGUAGGUGGUUUGUUAAGUCUGAUGUGAAAGCCCUGGGCUCAACCUGGGAAUUGCAUUGGAUACUGGCAGGCUAGAGUGCGGUAGAGGAUGGCGGAAUUCCCGGUGUAGCAGUGAAAUGCGUAGAGAUCGGGAGGAACAUCUGUGGCGAAGGCGGCCAUCUGGACCAGCACUGACACUGAGGCACGAAAGCGUGGGGAGCAAACAGGA
rnacentral:rRNA from 1 species